rnacentral:rRNA from 1 species
GGGUUGUGAGGUUAAGCGACUAAGCGUACACGGUGGAUGCCCUGGCAGUCAGAGGCGAUGAAGGACGUGCUAAUCUGCGAUAAGCGUCGGUAAGGUGAUAUGAACCGUUAUAACCGGCGAUUUCCGAAUGGGGAAACCCAGUGUGUUUCGACACACUAUCAUUAACUGAAUCCAUAGGUUAAUGAGGCGAACCGGGGGAACUGAAACAUCUAAGUACCCCGAGGAAAAGAAAUCAACCGAGAUUCCCCCAGUAGCGGCGAGCGAACGGGGAGGAGCCCAGAGCCUGAAUCAGUGUGUGUGUUAGUGGAAGCGUCUGGAAAGGCGCGCGAUACAGGGUGACAGCCCCGUACACAAAAAUGCACAUGCUGUGAGCUCGAUGAGUAGGGCGGGACACGUGGUAUCCUGUCUGAAUAUGGGGGGACCAUCCUCCAAGGCUAAAUACUCCUGACUGACCGAUAGUGAACCAGUACCGUGAGGGAAAGGCGAAAAGAACCCCGGCGAGGGGAGUGAAAAAGAACCUGAAACCGUGUACGUACAAGCAGUGGGAGCACGCUUAGGCGUGUGACUGCGUACCUUUUGUAUAAUGGGUCAGCGACUUAUAUUCUGUAGCAAGGUUAACCGAAUAGGGGAGCCGAAGGGAAACCGAGUCUUAACUGGGCGUUAAGUUGCAGGGUAUAGACCCGAAACCCGGUGAUCUAGCCAUGGGCAGGUUGAAGGUUGGGUAACACUAACUGGAGGACCGAACCGACUAAUGUUGAAAAAUUAGCGGAUGACUUGUGGCUGGGGGUGAAAGGCCAAUCAAACCGGGAGAUAGCUGGUUCUCCCCGAAAGCUAUUUAGGUAGCGCCUCGUGAAUUCAUCUCCGGGGGUAGAGCACUGUUUCGGCAAGGGGGUCAUCCCGACUUACCAACCCGAUGCAAACUGCGAAUACCGGAGAAUGUUAUCACGGGAGACACACGGCGGGUGCUAACGUCCGUCGUGAAGAGGGAAACAACCCAGACCGCCAGCUAAGGUCCCAAAGUCAUGGUUAAGUGGGAAACGAUGUGGGAAGGCCCAGACAGCCAGGAUGUUGGCUUAGAAGCAGCCAUCAUUUAAAGAAAGCGUAAUAGCUCACUGGUCGAGUCGGCCUGCGCGGAAGAUGUAACGGGGCUAAACCAUGCACCGAAGCUGCGGCAGCGACGCUGAUGCGUUGUUGGGUAGGGGAGCGUUCUGUAAGCCUGUGAAGGUGUGCUGUGAGGCAUGCUGGAGGUAUCAGAAGUGCGAAUGCUGACAUAAGUAACGAUAAAGCGGGUGAAAAGCCCGCUCGCCGGAAGACCAAGGGUUCCUGUCCAACGUUAAUCGGGGCAGGGUGAGUCGACCCCUAAGGCGAGGCCGAAAGGCGUAGUCGAUGGGAAACAGGUUAAUAUUCCUGUACUUGGUGUUACUGCGAAGGGGGGACGGAGAAGGCUAUGUUGGCCGGGCGACGGUUGUCCCGGUUUAAGCGUGUAGGCUGGUUUUCCAGGCAAAUCCGGAAAAUCAAGGCUGAGGCGUGAUGACGAGGCACUACGGUGCUGAAGCAACAAAUGCCCUGCUUCCAGGAAAAGCCUCUAAGCAUCAGGUAACAUCAAAUCGUACCCCAAACCGACACAGGUGGUCAGGUAGAGAAUACCAAGGCGCUUGAGAGAACUCGGGUGAAGGAACUAGGCAAAAUGGUGCCGUAACUUCGGGAGAAGGCACGCUGAUAUGUAGGUGAAGCGACUUGCUCGUGGAGCUGAAAUCAGUCGAAGAUACCAGCUGGCUGCAACUGUUUAUUAAAAACACAGCACUGUGCAAACACGAAAGUGGACGUAUACGGUGUGACGCCUGCCCGGUGCCGGAAGGUUAAUUGAUGGGGUUAGCGCAAGCGAAGCUCUUGAUCGAAGCCCCGGUAAACGGCGGCCGUAACUAUAACGGUCCUAAGGUAGCGAAAUUCCUUGUCGGGUAAGUUCCGACCUGCACGAAUGGCGUAAUGAUGGCCAGGCUGUCUCCACCCGAGACUCAGUGAAAUUGAACUCGCUGUGAAGAUGCAGUGUACCCGCGGCAAGACGGAAAGACCCCGUGAACCUUUACUAUAGCUUGACACUGAACAUUGAGCCUUGAUGUGUAGGAUAGGUGGGAGGCUU